rnacentral:rRNA from 1 species
AUUGAACGCUGGCGGCAGGCCUAACACAUGCAAGUCGCACGAGUGGCGGACGGGUGAGUAAUGUCUGGGAAACUGCCUGAUGGAUGGGGAUAACUACUGGAAACGGUAGCUAUAACCGCUUACCUUCGGAUGUGCCCAGUCGGGAUUAGCUAGUAGGUGGGGUAAAGGCUCACCAAGGCGACGACCCCUAGCUGGUCUGAGAGGAUGACCGGCAACACGGGAACUGAGACACGGUCCAGACUCCUACGGGAGGCAGCAGUGGGGAAUAUGGCACAAUGGGCGCAAGCCUGAUGCAGCCAGGCCGCGUGUAUGAAGAAGGCCUUCGGGUUGUAAAGUACUUUCAGCGGGGAGGCGUUACCCAAAGAAAAAGCAACGGCUAACUCCGUGCCAGCAGCCGCGGUAAUAC